rnacentral:lncRNA from 1 species
GAUUAUGCAGUUUUAAGAAGGUGAUUCAGCUAGUAAGUGGAGAUGCUGGGAUCUGAACAGCCUGACUCCACAGGUGUAACAACUUGAUUAGUGUCUACAUCAUUAGAUGUAGAGAUCUCAUGAGAGCAGAAGAUGUCUUGUUUUUGUAUAGUAAUAUUUUAGGCCCUUAACACAAAACCUGGCACAUGUUCAUAGUAGACUUAUCAAACACAUUUGUUUAAUAAAUGAGCAUAAAGAUGAAUUAAUAAUAAAGGGUAAUGUUGCAGGAAUUAAAUAAUUCAGAAAAGUUUAAAGGAAAGAGCUUGACAUUGAGAGUACGUAUCCAUUUUUUCCCUAUAAAUUAAAACUGUCACUGUUCACUUGUAAUGAUGGGCACUUUGGUUUAACUCAUAGAACACCAGUUUUCUUUGCCAGUGUAGAGGCACCGGACUAGAUGAAAUGUGAAAUCCUUAGGGUGUGUGAAUCUGAUAUGCCUGCCUAUAAAUGCCUCACCCAGCCCAGCCCAGGCACAUAGAUCCUUGUUGGACUGGCUGCAUGAGGAAGAAAGUUGCAAUGUGCUCUUUAAAUAUUUAUCCCAUAGAGUUUAGCACCACAAGAGGCCUCAGGAACCCUGAGCAAAAUUUUCCAUGGGAUCCCCUAAGAUGCUUCUCUACUAAUAAGAUGGCAAUGGGGUGCAAAGCAGUUAUUUAGGCUACUGGUGACAAAUUCCUGUAAGACGUAAUAAAUUCCUCUUCAAAGGUUUUAGCCUGUAAAUUGUUAAGUAUAAUGAGUUCUGAGAUCCUCUCCAAGAAAUCAAUGUAUCAGUAUGUUCAGCUCCUCUGUUCUUUGUUCUUCAUUUUAAAGUUUGACUUCCUCGUUCUUUACGUCUCCUUGCCCCCAGUUUCAGUGAACAACCCCCUCCUAGCCUCUAUCACCUGCUCUGAUCUUAGUCACCCUUGGUCACCUACUCUGUUCUUAGUCAUCCUGAAUCACCUGCUCUGUAACCAUCCUUCCUGCCAAACUACUCACCCUGCCACUCUGGCUCAUACUCCCGCUUUCUUUAAAAUAGCCAAUCGGAAUUAGCUUAGACUGUGUGGUCCAAACCUAGCCAAUAGGGAAACAACACAGCAGUAGGGGCUACCUGUGUCAGGGAUAAGAACCCCUUCCCCUCCCCCUUGUUUAGGUGUGCUCUCGCCAUUGCUCCAUCUGUGAGACGCACCCUUCUUUAGAAGUAAAAUUUCUUUGCUGAGAAAAUUCAUAUUAGAGUGCUAUUUCUUUUGCAGCACUGAAAAUUUAUUUCCAACAAAUUUGGGGGUUCAUCUAGGAUUCCCAUUCUCCUCUGGGAAAGGGUCUUCUGCCUCUCCCAUGAGAAGGCGUGCCCCACUGCCUUGUUGUGGCGGCCUCAGGGGUAAGGAAUCAAGACCCACCUGGUGUGAUGAAUAAACCUGGACUCUCAGCGAUGCAGGAAGAAACAGGCUGGCAGCUUGGGGAAAGGAUUCUUACAUACCACGGCGACCAGGUAACUCUGUGCACAGACCCAGAACUAAAGGUCUUUCAGCACACGCGCCACCCCUAGAGUUUCCAGUACACCAACAUCAGCCUGAGGACCACAUCCUCGUCAAAAGUUGGAGGGAAGGAAAACUCGAACUGGCUUGGGAAGAACACUUCCUAGUGCUUCUAACCACCGAGACUGCAGUUUGAACAGCAGAAAGAAGAUGGACUCAUCACACCUGGGUCAAAAGAACACGACCCCCUCCAGAAUCAUGGGCAGCUAUUCCUGGGCCAACUCCAACGAAGCUAAAGCUUGGUUUGAUCCUCUUACAUUGCAUCUCUUUCUUUUCCCCUUCGAUUGCUAGACCUCUCAUUAGUAAUGUAACUAGGUCAAGUUCACCCCAAACUACUACUUUUGAUGCUUGCCUUGUGAUGCCCUGUGGAGAUUUGCCUAACCAGAGGUAACUCUCCACUUCAGAAAAGUAUCUUUAUCCUUCCUAGCUCUCCUCAGACUGGAAAUCUGUUAACUGGGAUAGGUUAGUUUGGGAUGAGUUUGACGAAGAUUCUAGUAUGAACUGGGAAUCUUGUCCUCCUAGAGCAGAGCUUCUCUGCCGAAGUUGGUCCAAUGCUCUGUAAAAUACUGAAGAGCAAGGAUGGACCACCCCAACUAGUACUUGCAGUUUCUUAAAACCAUAUAUUCAUUUUACUACAAGAGUUAACCCUCCCCAUUGUCAGCUGAACCAAUGUAAUCCAGUACAGAUUACCAUCGCUGCUCCCCAGAGUUCUUCCCCUUCAUUAAGCUGUUUCUAUGGUAUUGGAGCAGAAGUCUCAGGGAAGGACCCCAUGGGAUCCUUUGCAAUGCACUUCGUCGCCUCCUCACCUCCUGCACCCACUUCUCCCUCUCCUUAGUUCUCCGGUAACCAAACCUUCUCUCGUUAUAUACCCAAUGAUAAAACCAAAGUAAUUGUUGUACAGGUUAAAGAUUCAAAACAAACCAUAGCAACUGAAACAGGGUAUCAGGACGCAAAUGCUUGGCUGGAAUGGAUUAAACAUUCUGUUUGCAGGCUAAACAAAAGCGCCUGUUACACUUGUGUGACAGGCAGGCCAGAGACCCAAAUUGUUCCCUUUCCACUUGGGUGGUCCUCUCACAGACCGGGCACGAGCUGUGUGGUAGCUCUCUUCCAGAACCCCACAGCCUGGGGUGGUGAGUCAUGCAAGACUCUUUCACUGCUGUUCCCUGAGGUCAAGAGCCCUGCGGGUCAGCCCUGAAGACUAUCCGGCCUCCAGCCCCUGAUGUUAACUUCACCUCAUGCCUUUCACGGCAGGGGGAAAAGUUAGCAUUCCUUGGAGACUUAACAGGGUGCAGUGAAACCAGGCCUUUUGAAGAGCUUACCAAUCAGUCUGCCCUUGUUCAUCCCCGAGCAGAUGUGUGGUGGUAUUGCUGGGGACUACUGCUGGGUACUCUGCCAAGUAAUUAGAGCAGCACUCAUGCUCUAGUCCAACUGGCCAUCCCUUUCACCCUAGCAUUCUGUCAAUAUGAUAAAAAAAAAAUUGUAAAAGAAGUGCCUCACGUGGGUCCUUUGACCCCCAUGUUUAUAUAAACACUAUUGGAGUUCUAUGAGGAGAACCAGAUGAAUUUAAAGCCCGAGAUCAAAUAGCUGCAGGAUUUAAGUCAGCAUUUUCAUGGGUGACAAUAAAAACAUAGAUUGGAUAAAUUACAUCUAUUAUGAUCACCAGUGGUUUAUUAAUUAUUCCACGGUUGCUGUCAAAGGGAUAACAGAACAACUGGGGCUCACCAGCCAGAUGGCCUGGAGAAACAAAAUGGCCCUGGAUAUGAUAUUAGCCACAAAAGGCGGUGUUGGUGUUAUGAUUAAAACUCAGCGUUGUACCUUUAUCCCAAACAACACUGCCCCCACUGGGGGCAUAACAAGAGCCUUACAAAGACUUACUGCUUUAUCCAAUAAACUAGCUAAACUUCUAGAGUCGAUAACUCUUUCUCAGAGUGGCUAGAAAGGAUGGUUUGGUAAAUGGAAAGAAAUCACAGCCUCAAUUCUUCUCUUGCAGCCUUAGUAGGUGUACUCGUUCUCGUUGGGUGUUGUGUCAUACCAUGCAUCCGUGGGCUAGUAUAAAGACUUAUAGAAGCAACACUUACUAAAACUUCCCUUAGCUCUCCUCCACCUUAUUCAGAUCAGUUUUUUCUUUUAUAGGAUUAAAUUGAACAACAAAGCCAAGACCUGUUAGAAAAGUUUGAAGAGAAACUACUAUGAAAAUUGAAAAGGGGGAAAUUGUAGGAUAAUAAUAAUAAAUUCCUGUCCAAAGGUUUUAGCCUGUAAAUUGUUAAGUAUAAAGUUCUGAGAUCCUCUCCAAAGAACCAAUGUAUCAGUAUGUUCAGCUCCCCUGUUCUUUGUUCUACAUUAUAAAGUUUAACUUCCUCAUUCUUUAUGUCUCCUUGCACCUAGUUUCAGUAAACAACCCCCUCCUAGCCUCUAUCACCUGCUCUGACCUUAGUCACCCUUCGUCACCUACUCUGUUCUUAGUCAUCCUGAGUCACCUGUUCUGUAACCAUCAUUCCCACCAAACUGCUCACCCUGCCUCUCUGGCUCAUACCCUUGCUGUCUUUAAAAUAGCCAGUCAGAAUUAGCUUAGACUGUGUGGUCCAACCAUAGCCAAUGGGGGAAUGACACAGCAGUAGGGGCUACCUGCAUCAGGGAUAAGAACCCCUUUCCCUCACUUGUUCAGGUGUGCUCUCACCAUUGCUCCAUCCAGGAGAUGCACCCUUCUAUAGAAGUAAAAUUGCCUUGCUGAGAAAA